rfam:Felis catus isolate Cinnamon breed Abyssinian chromosome A1, whole genome shotgun sequence.
ACCUGGCUGGCUCUGUUGGUGGAGCAUGUGACUCUUGAUCUCAGAGUUGUGAGUUCGAGCCUCACACUGGGUG